rnacentral:tRNA from 1 species
ACAUUGGUGGUUCAGUGGUAGCAUUCUUGCCCUACAGACAGGAGAUGCGGGUUCGAUUCCCGGCCAGUGCA